rnacentral:rRNA from 1 species
UACAGAGGGUGCGAGCGUUAAUCGGAAUUACUGGGCGUAAAGGGCUCGUAGGCGGUCUGUUGCGUCGGGAGUGAAAACUCAGGGCUUAACCCUGAGCCUGCUUCCGAUACGGGCAGACUAGAGGUAUGCAGGGGAGAACGGAAUUCCUGGUGUAGCGGUGAAAUGCGUAGAUAUCGGAAGGAACACCAGUGGCGAAGGCGGCUACCUGGAUUGACACUGACACUGAGGCGCGAGAGCGUGGGGAGCAAACAGG